AUACGGAGGGUGCGAGCGUUACUCGGAGUCACUGGGCGUAAAGCGUCCGUAGGCGGUCGGGUAAGUCGGGUGUGAAAGCCCCGGGCUCAACCUGGGAAGUGCACCCGAUACUGCUCGACUCGAGUGCGGGAGAGGAUGGCGGAAUUCCCGGUGUAGCGGUGAAAUGCGUAGAGUUCGGGAGGAACACCAGUGGUGAAGGCGGCCAUCUGGCCCGCAACUGACGCUGAGGGACGAAAGCGUGGGGAGCAAACAGUAUUAGAAACCCUAGUAGUCC
rnacentral:rRNA from 1 species